UACGUAGGGGGCUAGCGUUGUCCGGAAUCAUUGGGCGUAAAGCGCGUGUAGGCGGUCCGGUAAGUCCGCUGUGAAAGUCGGGGGCUCAACCCUCGGAUGCCGGUGGAUACUGUCGGGCUUGAGUACGGAAGAGGCGAGUGGAAUUCCUGGUGUAGCGGUGAAAUGCGCAGAUAUCAGGAGGAACACCAAUUGCGAAGGCGGCUCGCUGGGACGUUACUGACGCUGAGGAGCGAAAGCGUGGGGAGCGAACAGG
rnacentral:rRNA from 1 species